ACGAGCGGGCGGCCCGGCACCGCGCCGCCGUACUGGCCGCCGCGGCCGUCGACCCGGCGGCCCGGGCCCGGGUCGACUCCGGGCGCCUGGCC
rnacentral:tRNA from 1 species